AACCUGAAUGACUACUACCUGAAUGAUCAGAACCUGAAUGACUACUACCUGAAUGAUCAGAACCUGAAUGACUACUACCUGAAUGAUCAGAACCUGAAUGACUACUACCUGAAUGAUCAGAACCUGAAUGACUAUUACCUGAAUGAUCAGAACAGGAAACGUGAGCACACAUGGCGCCACUAGUUUGUUAAACCGACACUAACAGGUUUGAUGGAAUUCUAGCCUGGGUUUCAGGAGUCUGAACACCAAAGCCUUAUUCACGUCAGUCAUUAAUACCAGGAUAUUUACUGUAUGUUUUUAUGUAAGGAAAUAUAUUUUACACUGCACAAGACAUCCACUGGGGACAGUAUGUCUCGAUUGUAUUGAAUUCAAAGGGGCUCUAAAGGACACGACAGACCUGUAAAACUGGCCCUUAACCUAUUCUUAUCAAAUCAAAUGUGACGAAUACAACAGGACCUUACAGUGAAAUGCUGACUGACAAGCCCUUAUUAACCAACAAUGCAGUUAAGAAUGUAUAAAGGAUCAUUAAAAAAAUCUAAGUAACAAAUAAUUAAAGAUCAGCAGUAAAUAACAAUAGCGGAGCUUUAUACAGGAGGUACAGAGUCAAUGUGGAGGCUUUAUACAGGAGGUACAGAGUCAAUGUGGAGGCUUUAUACAGGAGGUACAGAGUCAAUGUGGAGGCUAUAUACAGGAGGUACAGAGUCAAUGUGGAGGCUAUAUACAGGAGGUACAGAGUCAAUGUGGAGGCUAUAUACAGGAGGUACAGAGUCAAUGUGGAGGCUUUAUACAGGAGGUACAGAGUCAAUGUGGAGGCUAUAUACAGGAGGUACAGAGUCAAUGUGGAGGCUAUAUACAGGAGGUACUGGUACAGAGUCAAUGUGGAGGCUAUAUACAGGGGGUACUGGUACAGAGUCAAUGUGGAGGCUAUAUACAGGGUAUUACGGUACAGAGUCAAUGUGGAGGCUAUAUACAGGGUGUUACAGUACAGAGUCAAUGUGGAGGCUAUAUACAGGGUAUUACGGUACAGAGUCAAUGUGGAGGCUAUAUACAGGGUGUUACAGUACAGAGUCAAUG